rnacentral:lncRNA from 1 species
AUUUGGGAAGAAUGUGCAUGCUUACAUGACAUGAUGUUUAACUGCAGUCAAGUUGACCUCAGUAGGGAUCAACGGGAGAACUGGACAUUCAUUGUUUCUGGGCACUGUGUCUGUGAGGGCAUUUCUACUUGUAAGUAAAAUGCAUAUUGCAGUACCUGUGGUGGCCAGGAGAGGGUGUCAGCUUCUCUGGAGCUGGAGUGAUAGGUGAUUUUGAAGCUCCGGAUAGUGCAGAAAAUAGUUCUUAGGUCCUCCGCAAGAAAAUCAAGUGCUUCUCACCCCUGAGCCACCUCUCCAGCCCCAGGAAGAUGGUGUUAGCUGUGGCUAUGUGUGGUGCAGUGGAUCACUGACAUUUGUUCCUUGCCCAAGGCUCUGCCCUUGUGGUCGGCACCCAUGUUCCCUCUGGUUAUGAGUUUACACCAUGAAACCUCUUUUGUCUAGCACCGGUGAUGUUGCUCUAGUAUCCCUCCGUCACAGGACAGUGACCGCUCAUGGAUCACAGGGACAGCUCUUGCUCACUUCCAUCUUAUACUGAUCUCCUCUCUGGGUCUCAAGGUGCUAUGUGGACCACUCUCCUGGAGAUUUGACCUUGUGGAUGACAGACAGUAGACAAGCAUGUAGAUUGUGUAGCAAUACUAAAGAGAGUAGCAGCACACGGAGAGGGUGGGAACCUUCUGUGCUGGGCAAUAAAAUAUGGCUCAUACUGAAUAUCAAGUAGGACAUUAGGUCCGUCUGCGGUAGGGUCAUGGAACCACAUGAAAAGAGUCUCGAUGUUAUUAACUCGCUAAAACUUUAGAGUUGAAGUGCAUUUAGCCCAAGGAAUGCCUUUUGUCUAUUGGCAUGCUAACAGGCUUAUUUUCUCCAUGAUCAGUUAAGGCGGGUGAAUAGAUUUCCCAACACUGAGACACCGUUGUGUUUCUGAGAUAAAGCCUGUGGCUGGUGAUGUAUUGGUUUUUUAAGUACCUUGUCGAAAGAGUUUCCAUCUUUUGUGGAGGUUCUAAAAGCUUUUAGACUUGGAAGUAAGAGGUUCCGGCGAGUGCCCUGCACACCUGCCACCUGCUGUCGCAGAGAGCUCAGCCUGCCUUAUUUUUUCCCCUUCAGGCAAUCCCUGGUUAUGUUUUUUUAAAAACAAGCCUUUCUUUGCCACUUAUGCUUCAUCGUGACGUAUUCCAUAUUGUUUUCUUACGAUUAUUGUUCCUUCCCUUUUAUAUUUAGCAGGUUUGUUGCAUUCUUAAAAGAAACAUUUGUCUUCUUUAUCUCCCUCCUUUUUGUUUUUACAGCUUCUUUGAGAUAAGACUGAUGUGUCUGCUUAAUGAAUACCAUAUUUAAUUUUGAAGCAUUUUGACACAUGCAAUGAUGCCUUCGUCACACAGAAACCUUCCACCACCGUUGUCUCCCUAGACUCCCGUAUCUCCUGCUCCCUGCCCAGCUUCCCCACAAGAGGCUACCUGCAACCAGAUCUCUGUCACUGUGCCUGUGUCGGAAGUUUCCCAUAAGUGGGAUCAGACUGUCCUUUUCAUCAUCAGUGAGUGUGACAUUUUCAAUGCAUCUGAGUGUGACAACUUCAAUGCAUCUGUCCUGCAGACUGCACAGAGCUGACUCUUUUCUUUGCUGACUAAUACUCUAUCCAGUUGUCGGCUUGUUUAAAGACACGCAUGCAGUCCAGUGUUGUCUUCUGUAAAGGUGCUAUGAACUUUGCCCCACACAAGUCUUUCUGGAAGUUAACUGUUCCCCUGUGAAUAUCUGCGAGUCAGUGGGUUACACUACACAGUAGGCACCAUGUGUAACUUCCCAGCACACACACACACACACACACACACACACACACACACGCAUCUACAUACAGACCUAUUCACACACAGGUAUAUAAACAGUAUUGACUUCCAAAGAAUAUAUACAGAAGAAUAUCAUUAUCAGCCACUCACUACAGGGCCUGUUUGUGUUCUUUUAAUGCUUGAAGAUGCAGAGAAACUUUUCAGAGCUCAGUCCCCAACCUAAUGAUUUUGGUAAGUGUCUUUAAUGCUUUCUCUUGUUUAUUUAGUAGGAGGCCACACCCCCUAAUCAUGCCACGCCCCAUGGGCCAAGCAUUCAAACACACGAGUGUUAGGUGUCUUCCUCUUUCUAUUCUCCAAACUGCUUUUUGAAAUAAGGAUUUCUUACUAAAUCUAGUUCUUAGAGAUUCAGCUAGACUGCCUCACCAGGGAUCCCCCUUUCCCUGCCUCCCAAGUGCUGGACUUACAGUUGUGCAUGGCCAUGCCAGCCUUGGGAGCUAGGGAUCCAAGCUCAGAGCCUCAUGUUUGUGUGGUAAGCACUUUACUCCCCCCCCCCCACCCACAGUUUCUAAUGUCUUUAAGCCGACUUCAAUUAUGGGGACACAAAUCACACUCAUUUCAUGAUAUUGGUAGCUCCUGUGCCAGGCACUAACAACAUUUUAAAAGAUUUAUUUAUUUUUAUCGUCUAUGUAUGAGUGUUUUGCCUGAAUGUGUAUCUGUGUACCUUGGGUAUGCCCGGUGCCUGCCGCCAUCACUAAGGGACAUCAGAUGCCUUAGAACUGGAGGCAGGAAUGGUUCUGAGCUGCCACAUGCGAGCUGGGAAUCAAAUCCAGCAGCAAAUGCUCUUAACCACUGAGCCACCUUUCCAGCAUCCCAAAACACUCUUCUUCCCGACAAGCCCCUGGCCACAUAGGUCUGAAUGUCGGACCCCAGGCCUGUCUGUCACUGGAUCUUGAAGACAUUGAACUUUUAUGGCUAGUUAAUCAGCGAGCAUCUCCAAUUUUGUUCUUUUUCAAAAUUGCUUUAACUAUCUCCUUUCAUUUCUACGUACACUUGUAGAAUCAAGGGAGCAAUCUCUUUAAAUAAAUGGGGAAAAAACAAAUAUAUAUUAAUAUGUGCAGCAACAUUUUCCAAGACCACAGUGGCUGAGUAGAUGAGUUUAGCAGAUUUUUAUCUCAGCAGUAGGCUCUCUCCAAGCCACGAGCAAGUACAUCUUCCAUCUAUGUGCGACUUAAGGCAAUUCUAGCAGUAGCUUGCCAUAGCAUCUUGCCCAUCUUUUAUCAAAAUUAUCUUUAGCCUCAUGCUAUUUAAGUAUUGCUGUUUUUCCAUUGCAAGCUCCGGGGACACAUCAUUACUUUGUGGAAAUAAAGCUGGUUCUUAUAUAUUGGCAUGUGGCAGGGAGUCACAUAUCAAUUCCAAUGAUGGCUCUGUGGGUUACUCGAGGUUUGCUAGACAGAAUACUAUGUACUCCGAUGACAACCUCGCUCAUUCUCUCCCAAUCCAUAUGCCUUUAUUUUCUGUGCCAAGCUAAACUGGCUCAAAAUUCAAGUUCAACACAGACAUGAGUGGUGAGACAGAUGUUUUUGCAUGCUUCCAGUCUCAGGGGAUACGCAUCUCUACCCCAGUGAUGUCAGACAGUUGGCCUCGCUUCCACCUUUAUGAAUCUGGGGUAGCGCCAUUCUAUUUCCAGAUUCAUUUAGUCUUCUGGUGAAUGGAUGCUGGAUUCCUUCAAGGACAUUUGCUACAUUUUCUAAACUGAUAUUCUCUUGUGUUUCUCAGCCAGCAAAUAUGAUGGAUUGUGGUUGAAUGCUUUACAAAGGUUAGCCAAGUCUAGUAGUCUUGAGGAAAACUCACUGGAGUCUUCUCCUAGACUGGUGUGUGUGUGUGUGUGUGUGUGUGUGUGUGUGUGUGUGUGUGUAGAUGUGCAUGUGGUUUCUCUCUUUCCACUUCUAAAAUAUAACAAGUAGAGACAUCUUCCCCCUGAUGUUGGUGUUGAAUCCCAUGCCUGUUCAAUCAGUCUGGCUCAUGGCUCUCAAAUUUCACUGCUGUCUCCUCACAGCUAGUGUACGAUAUGAUUCAGAGACUCCACACCUACGUACUUACCAAAAGCAAAGCACAUUCCACCAGAAACCGUAGCGCUGUCCCACCCCAGCCAGUGUGCUGAAUACACAGCUGAGAGCUGCCCCAUCUCCUCAGGGGGUGGGCAUCUGAGUACCCCACCACCACCCUGUGUACUCAGCAAUGAAAAAUGAGAUACACCAAACCAGAAAUGCAUUUGAAACCAAAAACUGGCAAAUUAGUAGUGACA